AUUGAACGCUGGCGGCAUGCCUUACACAUGCAAGUCGAACGGCAGCACGGGUGCUUGCACCUGGUGGCGAGUGGCGAACGGGUGAGUAAUACAUCGGAACAUGUCCUGUAGUGGGGGAUAGCCCGGCGAAAGCCGGAUUAAUACCGCAUACGAUCCACGGAUGAAAGCGGGGGACCUUCGGGCCUCGCGCUAUAGGGUUGGCCGAUGGCUGAUUAGCUAGUUGGUGGGGUAAAGGCCUACCAAGGCGACGAUCAGUAGCUGGUCUGAGGGGACGACCAGCCACACUGGGACUGAGACACGGCCCAGACUCCUACGGGAGGCAGCAGUGGGGAAUUUUGGACAAUGGGCGAAAGCCUGAUCCAGCAAUGCCGCGUGUGUGAAGAAGGCCUUCGGGUUGUAAAGCACUUUUGCCCGGAAAGAAAUCCUUGACUCUAAUACAGUCGGGGGAUGACGGUACCGGAAGAAUAAGCACCGGCUAACUACGUG
rnacentral:rRNA from 1 species